rnacentral:misc_RNA from 1 species
ACCAAAUAAACUUCUUAAAGCCAAAAAAAAGAAAGCACAAGACAUUGAUCAUUUAUGAAUCUGCAAUGGUAACUUCCACCUCGACACCAGGUUCAAUUGUAAUUGAAGUGAUCUGCUUGACCACCUCUGGGGAACUGAACAGGUCGAUAACACGUUUGUGGACCCGAAGCUCAAAUCUGUCCCAUGUAUUGGUUCCUUCACCACAAGGAGAUUUCCUAGUGGUAAUGUGAAGAACCUUUGUGGGCAUUCUCACAGGUCCCUUGACCCUUAAUCGCUUGUCCUUAGCCCCACGAACCAAGUCCGCACAGACUUUCUCAAGGUUUUUGACAUUUUUGGAAGAGAGUGUAAUCCUGAUCUUAUGUAUCUGCUCAUGGGAAUCCUCCAACCCAGCCUUUGCUGGCUUCAUUGCUGCGUAUGCUGCCAUUUUCUCCUU